UGUAAAAAUAAAGUGACACAGAUGGGAUUAAAGAAUAUCUUUUUUCGUAGAGUGCAGUAAAAAAAUUUUGAUUUAUGACUUAGGGUUAUUAACAUAGUGUUCUUCUUUUAUAAUAUAAGGUAUAUAAAGAAAAAAUACUCUUAAGCUAAGAAAAGAACGACAGCACCAACGUUUGCAUAUACCGAAAAGAUUAUUUUUACAGCUGCAUAAGAGAAGUUACUCUUUGAGUAUCGUGUAAACUGCGGUGCUGAUUACUUUUGUCUAACAACUAAAAAAGCCAGACACGUUCCUUGCAAAACAUAAAAAAACCUUUUUCUUCUACCUAACUGAAAUGGCUGGAGGUAUUAUUUAUAGUAGAGAGAGGUAGUAUAUAUUUACUUAGACCUUUUAUGAUGUCACAUUUAUUUUGUCUCGAGUGCAAGCGUUCUCAAGUUCAUUGGAAUCCCAACAUUGGACUAAUCUGGGUUAACAACUGUUCAGAAA